rnacentral:rRNA from 1 species
CCCUUAGAUGUUCUGGGCCGCACGCGCGCUACGCUGAUGCAUUCAACAAGCCUAGCCUUGACCGAGAGGUCCGGGUAAUCUUUGAAACUGCAUCGUGAUGGGGCUAGAUUAUUGCAAUUAUUAAUCUUCAACGAGGAAUGCCUAGUAAGCGUGAUUCAUCAAAUCGCGUUGAUUACGUCCCUGCCCUUUGUACACACCGCCCGUCGCUCCUACCGAUUGAAUGUGUUGGUGAGGAGCUCGGAUUGGCAGCAGUUGGUGGUUCGCCACCGGCUAUUGCUGAGAAGUCCUCCAAACCGCCCCAUUUAGAGGAAGGAGAANUCGUAACA